CCUACGGGAGGCAGCAGUGAGGAAUAUUGGUCAAUGGGCGUAAGUCUGAACCAGCCAUGCCGCGUGCGGGAAGAAGGCUCUAUGGGUUGUAAACUGCUUUUAUACGGGGGUAAAGCUGAAGACGUGUAUUGAGCUGAAAGUACUUUACGAAUAAGGAUCGGCUAACUCCGUGCCAGCAGCCGCGGUAAUACGGAGGAUCCGAGCGUUAUCCGGAUUUAUUGGGUUUAAAGGGUGCGUAGGCGGCCUGAUAAGUUAGAGGUGAAAUGCCGGAGCUUAACUCUGGAACUGCCUUUGAUACUGUUGGGCUUGAGAAUAGAUGAGGCAGGCGGAAUGUAUGGUGUAGCGGUGAAAUGCUUAGAGAUCACACAGAACCCCGAUUGCGAAGGCAGCUUACCAAUCUAUAUCUGACGCUGAUGCACGAAAGCGUGGGGAGCAAACAGGAUUAGAUACCCCAGUAGUC
rnacentral:rRNA from 1 species